rnacentral:rRNA from 1 species
UACGUAGGGAGCGAGCGUUGUCCGGAAUUACUGGGUGUAAAGGGAGCGUAGACGGCGGUGCAAGCCAGAUGUGAAAGCCCGGGGCUCAACCCCGGGACUGCAUUUGGAACUGUGCUGCUAGAGUGUCGGAGAGGGCAGGCGGAAUUCCUAGUGUAGCGGUGAAAUGCGUAGAUAUUAGGAGGAACACCAGUGGCGAAGGCGGCCUGCUGGACGAUGACUGACGUUGAGGCUCGAAAGCGUGGGGAGCAAACAGG